GGCCAAAACUCACUUCACAGCUGUUGCAAAAGCAGGGGAAAAGUGAAGGAGGCAGACACAACUUGGAGGGGAAGAUAGGAGAGACAUGGCAUGGAUACUUGAAAAAAAAAAAAAAAACAGAAAACAAAAUCUUGUUCCACAUCAAAGCCAUCAAAAGGCAUGGCACGGCAUCAAGGGCAGGGACAUGCAGGACAUUCACCAAGGCUGGCCAAAAUUGAUCCCCGCUGAAGGUCAAAACAAAUAAGAAGGACUUAGGAACACUCUGGAAUAGAGAUAGCAUCCAAAGAAAUGAAAUUGAAGGAGAGAAAAAAAAAUUUUUGAAAUUUAGUGACUACAAGAAAGUGGUCUGGGUGGAAAUGAUGUGCAGUGCAAAGGACCAAAGGAGGCCAAAACUCACCUCACAGCUGUUCCAAAAUCAGGGGAAAAGUGAAGGAGGCAGACACAACUUGGAGGGGAAGAUAAGAGGGAAAUGGCAUGGAUAUUUAAAAAAAAAAAAAGGAAAAAAAAAUCUUGUUCCACAUCAAAGCCAUCAAAAGGCAUGGCACGGCAUCAAGGGCAGGGACAUGCAGGACAUUCACCAAGGCUGGCCAAAAUUGAUCCCCGCUGAAGGUCAAAACAAAUAAGAAGGACUUAGGAACACUCUGGAAUAGAGAUAGCAUCCAAAGAAAUGAAAUUGAAGGAGAGAAAAAAAAAUUUUUGAAAUUUAGUGACUACAAGAAAGUGGUCUGGGCCAAAAUGAAGUACAGUGCAAACCUCAAAAAGAGGCCAAAACUCACUUCACAGCUGUUGUAAAAGCAGGGGAAAAGUCAAGGAGGCAGACACAACUUGGAGGGGAAGAUAGGAGAGACAUGGCAUGGAUACUUGAAAAAAAAAAAAAAAAAGAAAAAAAAUCUUGGCCAAUGUAAAAGCCAUCAAAAGGCAUGGCAUGCUGUCAAGUGCUGGGACUUGCACCAAAGCUUGCCCCUUUAAUUCCCAUUGAAAUCGCAAGAUUUCGUUUCCCGUCCCGAAAGGAAAUUUCCUUUCGGGACGGGAAACGAAAUCUUGCGACCCUGAAAAGAAAGGCUUACAAACACUCCAGAAAGGAGAUAUGAUCAAAAGAAAUGCAAUUGAAAAAAACCCCCAAAAAAUGGAAAAUGGGGAGAUUUAGUGACUACAAGAAAGUAGUCUGGGCGGAAAUGAUGUGCAGUGCAAAGGACCAAAGGAGGCCAAAACUCACCUCACAGCUGUUCCAAAAGCAGGGGAAAAGUGAAGGAGGCAGACACAACUUGGAGGGGAAGAUAAGAGGGACAUGGCAUCGAUACUUAAAAAAAAAAAAAGGAAAAAAAAAAUCUUGUUCCACAUCAAAGCCAUCAAAAGGCAUGGCAAGCCAUCAAGGGCAGGGACAUGCAGGACAUUCACCAAGGCUGGCCAAAAUUGAUCCCCGCUGAAGGUCAAAACAAAUAAGAAGGACUUAGGAACAUUCUGGAAUAGAGAUAGCAUCCAAAGAAAUGAAAUUGAAGGAGAGAAAAAAAAAAUUUUUGAAAUUUAGUGACUACAAGAAAGUGGUCUGGGUGGAAAUGAUGUGCAGUGCAAAGGACCAAAGGAGGCCAAAACCCAC